rnacentral:rRNA from 1 species
AGUGAACGCUGGCGGCGUGCCUAAUACAUGCAAGUCGAACGGAGUGGCGCACGGGUGAGUAAUAUAUAGCUAAUCUGCCCCUUGCUGGAGGACAACAGUUAGAAAUGACUGCUAAUACUCCAUAGCAAGGGAUGAGACUAUAUCGUAUCAGCUAGUCGGUGGGGUAACGGCCUACCGAGGCUAUGACGCGUAACUGGUCUGAGAGGAUGAUCAGUAAACUUGGAACUGAGACACCGUUCAAACUCAUACGGGAGGGAGCAGUAGGGAAUAUUGCGCAAUGCGGGAGACCCUGACGCAGCAACGCCGCGUGGAGGAUGACACUUUGCGAGGCAUAAACGCCUUUUGUUAGGGAAGCGUUACCUAACGAAUAAGCACCGGCUAACUCCGUGCCAGCCGCCGCGGUAAUAC